AAGAGUAUAGUUUAAUGGUAAAACAAAAAGCUUCAACCUUUUUGAUCUUGGUUCGAAUCUGAGUACUCUUG
rnacentral:tRNA from 1 species